AAUGCUCACUUUUCUACCACUUGGAUUUCUUCCCUGAGCACUGCAGCGCUUUGGCAUCAGCCAGAACAACAGCAAUGUCAACAGGCUGCUGAAUGCUGGAGUUGAUCAACCACUGCUGUUCACGAGAUCAUCAACAUUUGUGAAGGUCUCUGGUAUUUACGUAUGCAAGGCUGGACAAAAGCACAAAACUGAAGCUUAUUCCUCUCAAGGUGGGUACUUG